AUAGAAGUACCGUAAUGAGUAAAUAUGUUUCAAAAGCUAAAUGUCUCUCAAGGUGUCCACCACAUCACUCUGAUCAUUUGGUUUUAAGAUAAAAAUCUAUAAGGACCAAGCCUCUACCUGCCUUUGCAACAUCAUUUUACUGUCUGCACCCUUUGUUAGUGUUCCUCAUCCUGGUGAACUGAAUGUUAUAUAUUGAAAUUCUGUGCCUCCUACAUAAAACUGAAAACUGAACCUACUUUAUUAUUUAAACAUUAACUGUUCCUCUCCUCCAUUAUGUACUCAACUAUUAUGGAACUCAAAAUCAUUAUUGUGCCACUGACAGCAUUAGUUUACUUUUUAAAUAUUUAUUUUUAAGCAUGUUUGGCUAUAUGCCAUGUGUGCCCAUGUGUGGCUCUGGCUGAGUGCAAGUAUCCUGGGAGUUUACAGGUGGUUCUCAGCUAGUGAUUGAACUUUGGCCCUCUACUAGAGCAGACAUGCUCUCAACUACUGAGCCAUCUCUCUAGCCUGGCAACAAUUUUUUGAUAGCAAUUUUUAUCCUGCUGGAAGAGAUUUUCUUGAACUGAAAACAAAUCUAAUCCUAAAUGUGUUUAUACUUAUGAAGAACCGUCUCUCAAUUUCUGAGUCAUUUUUGGGGAAAAUGUUAUUUGCUGUUGUAAGAAAUAUUAACUCUUUGAUUUCAAGUCUUACUCUGACAUGAUAUAGGUGAUAUAUCACAGCCAAGGCUGCUGCAGCUGUUUCAAAUGCUGUUAGUUUUGGGGACCUUCAACCCUUCUUCCACUGGUCACCUACUUUCUUUCACCUUGGUAAGAGCUCUCUAAACAUAGCUGAUAUCUGUGAUCUUAGCUAGGUGCUCCUGACUCAGCUCUAACAGGUUCAUUACAGAGUCCAGAUGCUCUUGUGCUACUCUGGGAAGAGCUUGCUGAUGGCAUCCUCCUGGGCUCUAGUGAAAGUCACAAUCUACUUCAGGCUGCUAAGAGGCCAGCCUCAAGCCCUGACAAAAGGAAUGACUCCCACCCCCUAAUGUGAAGCACUUGAACACUUUGGCUAAGGUAGUCCAGGGUGGCAGUAGGGCCAUGCUCAAGAUGAGGAAGAAGUAGGUACCCACCAUCAGCUCUUUCUAUGUCUUUCUUUGCCCUCUUCCAGGCAGGACUGGAAGUUCUGGAAGCAGUCACACUUCAGUGACAUUGGUGGAUGGCCUUGGGUUCAUCCACCAGAUCAGGCCCUUUCUAAGUGUGACAGUGAAUGCCACAUUUUCUGGUUGGAAGAGUGAAAGGCUAGCAUUGAAGAUGCACUGAUGUGAUAUUGCAGAGUUGGAAGUUCAGCCCUCACCAUAUUUCAUAUCAAAUACCAACUAGCUGAGAAGAAGUUGAUCAGUGCCUUGCUCAGCCAUCAUCAGAGAAGCUUCCUCCUGGAGCAGAUGGGAAAAAAUACCGAGAUCCACAGCCAGAAAAUAUGCAGAGAGAGACCUCAAAAGCACUAAAUGGGAUGUCUCCAUCAAUUCUUUCCCCUCAUGGCUCAGGAAACUGUGAAAGAGGAGGGUUUCUCUGUUGAUUUGGAGCCUGUCCUGGAACUUGCUCUGUAGACCAUGCUGGCCUUGAACUCACAGAGAAUUGCUGGACUCUGUCUCCCAAGUGCUGAGAUUAAAGGCAUGCGCCACCACCACCUGGCUUAUUUUAAUUCUCGAUUAGUAAGAGUAGAUUAAAAUAUUUUCAAAGCAAAAGUUUUAAAAGUCACUAUCAAAAAGUAACCUCAGCAUCAAGAGAACAUUUAUGUAAAAAGGAAAGAGUAAAAGACUUCCUGUGGAAAUAUCAACUAUGGUUUACAAUGAACAUAAAGAACUAUACAGUACUUGGCAGCAGAAUUGUCACAAGAAUGUAUAUGUAUUAUACCACAAAAAAUGUAAUUAAAUAUAUGAAGAAUCA
ensembl:lncRNA